GGGAAAUGAGAUCCAUUGCAGUACGUGGAAUGUGAGUUCUGAGAAUAAGUGAACAACACUUUUCCUUUAUUUACUACAUAAAGUCUUUUUAUGCACCAUUCCUAGGUUUUAGGGCAGACAACUCAGGAAUUCCAGAAGUGCAUUCUUUAUUUUAUUGGUCAUUUUAAAGGGAGUGGUAUGGAAUGGUUUAUCAUGUGGUAGCAAUUUUUCACAGUUCUUUUCUACUUGCCUUACAGGAAUAAGAAGAUGAUGAAAAGAUUAUUGACAAUAGAGAAGUAGCAACGACCUGCUUGAAUACAAUGUACUAGAGAAGGUGGGAUGUACUUUCAGACCAUGUACCCUAUUAUGAAGGAAUGGAAGAGGAGACAAUUUGAAUGAAUCAUCCUGAUCUACAAAACAGUCAUAGUGACUAGGACGCCCCAGUGAAGAUGGUUGACUAGUGACACAGCCCCAUCUAAAGAGCCCCUUUCUGUACGCCUGAAAACCCAUUAAAAUAAAGUCACUGCAGUUGGCCUUA